GAACCCACCUUCGGCCGCGCCCCCCUUGCGGUUAGGCUACGGACUUCGGGUGUUCCCGACUCUCAUGGUGUGACGGGCGGUGUGUACAAGGCCCGGGAACGUAUUCACCGCGGCAUGCUGAUCCGCGAUUACUAGCGAUUCCAACUUCACGCAGGCGGGUUGCAGCCUGCGAUCCGAACUGGGAUGGCUUUUAGGGAUUUGCUCCGCCUCGCGGCAUUGCUUCCCUCUGUUGACCACCAUUGUAGUACGUGUGUGGCCCAGGACAUAAGGGGCAUGAUGAUUUGACGUCGUCCCCACCUUCCUCCGUUUUGUCAACGGCAGUCUCGCUAGAGUGCUCUUGCGUAGCAACUAACAAUAAGGGUUGCGCUCGUUGCGGGACUUAACCCAACAUCUCACGACACGAGCUGACGACAACCAUGCACCACCUGUCACCACAGUCCCCGAAGGGAAGGAUGUAUCUCUACAUCUGUCCGUGGGAUGUCAAGCCCUGGUAAGGGUCU
rnacentral:rRNA from 1 species